AUUGAACGCUGGCGGCAUGCCUUACACAUGCAAGUCGAACGGCAGCGCGGACUUCGGUCUGGCGGCGAGUGGCGAACGGGUGAGUAAAGUAUCGGAACGUACCUUUCAGUGGGGGAUAACGUAGCGAAAGUUACGCUAAUACCGCAUAUUCUGUGCGCAGGAAAGCAGGGGAUCGCAAGACCUUGCGCUGAUAGAGCGGCCGAUAUCAGAUUAGCUAGUUGGUGGGGUAAAGGCCUACCAAGGCGACGAUCUGUAGCGGGUCUGAGAGGAUGAUCCGCCACACUGGAACUGAGACACGGUCCAGACUCCUACGGGAGGCAGCAGUGGGGAAUUUUGGACAAUGGGGGCAACCCUGAUCCAGCCAUGCCGCGUGAGUGAAGAAGGCCUUCGGGUUGUAAAGCUCUUUCGGCCGGGAAGAAAUCGCACGGGUUAAUACCCUGUGCGGAUGACGGUACCGGCAUAAGAAGCACCGGCUAACUACGUGCCAGCCGCCGCGGUAACAC
rnacentral:rRNA from 1 species